rnacentral:SRP_RNA from 1 species
GGCUAUCUCCCGCGUGGUGAGAUCGUGUGAACCAGGUCAGGCGGGAAACCGAGCAGCCUUAAGCAUUGGUCAUCAGGUACGCGUGGAGAUAGCCUUU